CUACGGGUGGCACCAGCAGGGAAUAUUGCACAAUGGACGGAAGUCUGAUGCAGCGACGCCGCGUGGAUGAUGAAGGCCCUCGGGUUGUAAAAUCCUUUUCAGGGGGACGAGGAAGGACGGUACCCUUGGAAUAAGCGUCGGCUAACUACGUGCCAGCAGCCGCGGUAAGACGUAGGACGCAAGCGUUAUCCGGAUUUACGGGGCGUAAAGCGUCUGUAGGCGGAAUGGUAAGUUGGACGUGAAAGCUCCGGGCUCAACUCGGAGAGGUCGUUCAAUACUGCCAAACUAGAGGGCAUCAGAGGAGCGUGGAAUUUCCGGUGUAGCGGUAAAAUGCGCAGAUAUCGGAAGGAACACCAAUGGCGAAGGCAGCGCUCUGGGAUGAACCUGACGCUAAGAGACGAAAGCUAGGGGAGCGAACAGGAUUAGAUACCCUGGUAGUC
rnacentral:rRNA from 1 species